rnacentral:lncRNA from 1 species
CCUUGGCCAGGGCAAAAUAUAUAGUGGAAAAGAGUUUUCUAUUAUCGAACUCAAGUCGAAUAAAUCUAGACAUAUGACAGACAACGGGGUUUGACGAGUUAUCCAUGACCUCCGAUCUGUAGGGAUCCACGAUAGAAGGACUGUAUCAUAAGAUAACUGCACCUAGAGGUUCAUCAUUCUAUUCUGCUGGAUGGCCACUACAUACUGCUAGGUGUCACUGGUGGAUGGUGAGACUCACAGGGAUCAUCUUGAUGGUCGAUAAUCCCUGGUGAGUUGAGUUGAAAUUAUUUCAACCCAUUGAAAGGAGUUUUCAAUGAUAUUGUGAUAGAGAUCGCAAUAUAUCUCACUACCAGUCAGAAUAGAACCUAUGGGGUCACACACAUUAGAGGUAUUGACCGAUCC